ACGCACGCUGGCGGCGUGCUUCACCCAUGCAAGUCGCGCGGUAAGGCCUUUCGGGGUACACGAGCGGCGAACGGGUGAGUAACACGUGGGUGAUCUGCCCUGCACUUCGGGAUAAGCCUGGGAAACUGGGUCUAAUACCGGAUAUGACCUCCUAUCGCAUGGUGGGUGGUGGAAAGAUUUAUCGGUGCAGGAUGGGCCCGCGGCCUAUCAGCUUGUUGGUGGGGUAAUGGCCUACCAAGGCGACGACGGGUAGCCGACCUGAGAGGGUGACCGGCCACACUGGGACUGAGACACGGCCCAGACUCCUACGGGAGGCAGCAGUGGGGAAUAUUGCACAAUGGGCGAAAGCCUGAUGCAGCGACGCCGCGUGAGGGAUGACGGCCUUCGGGUUGUAAACCUCUUUCAGCAGGGACGAAGCGUAAGUGACGGUACCUGCAGAAGAAGCACCGGCUAACUACGUG
rnacentral:rRNA from 1 species